rnacentral:misc_RNA from 1 species
AAGUCGUAACAAGGUUUCCGUAGGUGAACCUGCGGAAGGAUCAUUACCACAUCCAAAAUCUUUUAUCAACCCACAAGUGUGAAGUUGUGAUGAGGAACUUUUUCUUCAUUUUUUGAACCCCCUUUGAACUCCCAAGUGAAAUAAGCAAGGCUAAAAAAAAAAAGAGAAAAGAGAAAACAACUUUUAACGGUGGAUCUCUUGGCUCGU